AGGAACAUGGCCGCCGUGCAGCUGCUGCGUGUGUCGGUACAUGAGCGGAUCAGCGCCGCCGCUGAAGAAUUCCUGCUGCAGGUGGAGGAAGGAGGAGGAAAGGCUCGAGUCCCGGAGCUGAGAGCGAUGCUCACCGAGCGGCUAAUGGCGGCGGGGGAGGAGAUCCUCGCGGUGCUUGAGGAAACCUUGGCAGAGUACGAGGACCGAGUGGAGCGGUCAGAAAGGUCCGAGCGGGAGAUCUGCCGCCAGAGGAGGCUGCUCGAUGCCGCGAUGCAGCCCGUAGUCCGGCUGCACAGAGCAGUGUGCCCUGCAGACGUACAGCAACUGAUGGUGAUUAAAGAAGAGGUUCCCCCUGAGCAGCAGCAGUGGAGCCCCCUUGUGGACCAGGAGGACCCAGAGCCCCCCCACAUUAAAGAGGAACAGGAGGAACCGUUGACCACUCAGGAUGGACAGCAGCUUCAAGGACUGGGGGAGGCGGAUAUCAAGUUCACAUUGACUCCUGUCGCUGUGAAGAGUGAAGAAGAUGAAGAGAAACUUAAAUCGUCAAAGCUUUGUCUGAGUGUGAGGACGGAGAACAGAGCGGACUCUGGACGACCAGAACCAGCCAGGAACUCAGGUCCUGAUGGACAUUUACAACAAGGUCCUGAGGACAAGACUGAAGACUCUUCUGAGACUGAACACAGUGUGGAUGAUUCGAUGGAGACCAGGGAAACUCAGACUAGUUUAGAUACAAGAAAUAACAAACAGCCUCUAAGUGAUAUGGGAUGUAAGAGAGAAAAAAAACCGUUUCGCUGCUCUGAGUGUGGUAAAAGAUUUACCCAAAGGAGCCAACUAAAAACACAUAUGAGGAUUCAUACAGGAGAGAAACCGUUUAGUUGCUCUGAGUGUGGUAACAGAUUUACCCAAAGGGGCAAUCUCAAUAUACAUAUGAUGACUCAUACAGGAGAGAAACAGUUUAGUUGCUCUGAGUGUGGUAACAGAUUUAACAAAAGGAGCAGUCUAAAUACACAUAUGAAGACUCAUACAGGAGAGAAACCGUUUAGUUGCUCUGAGUGUGGUAACAGAUUUAGACAAAGGGGCAAUUUAAUUACACAUAUGAGGAUUCAUACAGGAGAGAAACAGUUUAGUUGCUCUGAGUGUGGUAAGAGAUUUAGCCGUAGGGUCAGUCUAAAUACACAUAUGAUGAGUCAUACAGGAGAGAAACCGAUUAGUUGCUCUGAGUGUGGUAAAAGAUUUAACCAAAGGAACAAUCUGAAAACACAUAUGAAGACUCAUACAGGAGAGAAACCGUUUAGUUGCUCUGAGUGUGGUAAAAGAUUUAACCAAAGGAGCAAUCUGAAAACACAUAUGAAGACUCAUACAGGAGAGAAACCGAUAAGUUGCUCUGAGUGUGGUAAAAGAUUUAACCAAAGGAGCAAUCUGAAAACACAUAUGAAGACUCAUACAAGAGAGAAACCGUUUAGUUGCUCUGAGUGUGGUAACAGAUUUAGACAAAGGGGCAAUUUAAUUACACAUAUGAGGAUUCAUACAGGAGAGAAAUAGUUUAGUUGCCUUGAGUGUUGUAAAAGAGUGAAACAAAGGAGCCAUCUAAAUAAACAUAUGAGUAGUCAUACAGGAGAAAAAACGUUUAGUUGAUCUGAGUGUGGUAAAAGAUUUAAGAAGUCCUAUUUUACGAGACGUGAGGAUUCAUAAAGGUGAGAAGUGAUUCUGUUGCAAUCUUUGCAACAAAAGAUUUAUUAGGAUUUAUCAGCAGAUGUACGUAUUAUACAUAUUCAUAGUUCACUGUUUUAAGGAGACUAUUAACAGGUAUUUCCCAAGAAAAUAUAACUCAUUUAAUAAUACGAAAGAUUUGUUUAUAUAUCUUUUUUCUACUGAUUUCUACAUAAUUUAUCCAUUUUCAUAACUUCAUUUUAAGGUUAAAGUGUGUUCCUUGCACAGUAUGAAUGUGUGUUCUUAACUAGUUCAUAUGAUUAAAUAUGUUGGUUUUAAGAUAAUGGUUUCUUGGUUUGUGAGACUCAAUGACAGUGUGUGUUCUCCUUUAUGUUUUGAAUGUGACCUCUCUCUAUCUCUCUCUCAGAAUUGGGACAUUUCCUCAAACCGUGUAAACAUUGCCGACGGCGAAAAUGAAAAACGCAUGCAAUGAUGCUUCAAAAUGCAUGUGCUCGGGCCCGCUCAGUGUUGCUUUGCAGUCCUAAAAAUGUUAGAAAUUGUAUUUUAUAGUUGGUACUUUCAAGGGUUGAGCAAUCCUGGUUAUUAUUACUAUUUUUUUUUCAGGCAAAUGAAUUGGCCUUUUGGGGGCUUCAACAUGCUCAAAUUCGCACCUUCUGCGCAGAAGUUUUAUUCAGCAAAAACAGAGCAUUCCACUGGUAAAGCUUCACUAUUGUGGGCUGAGGAACCUCCGGCACAUUCCUAAUGCCUUGUUUGCGCAUGGUGAGGAGUUGCAACCCCAAAAAAGUGUUGAUGAUGACGCAGGAGCUGGACGACUGGCUCAAAGAGCAGAUCGACAAACUGGAGCAUGUGCGCCUGGCUGCGGUAGAACUGAAGGACAACAUGUCUGAGAGCCACAGUGACCUAAGCCAGUCUGUCGCUGAGCAUCUGGAAUGGUUGAAUCACUUGUCGGAGCGGGUGGAGACUCUUCACGUGAACACAGCAGUGUUUGUUCAGAUGAAUCCCAAGCCCCGUGCGUGGGCGGUGAAACAGGGCUCCAAACAUGGCUACCGCUGGGGACGCUUCCACCAGGCCGAGGACGCCCAGUCCGAGUUCGGCUGGUCCCCGAUCCGCACGCGACGAAACAGCGACGCUGCCUCUGAGAUGUCUUGCAACUGGUGACCUGGUGGACCUCCACCAAAAUAAUGACUGGAAACGAAAAGUCUUUACACAUUUCAUUUUUUAUUGGGACAUUUACACUCAUUAUCGUGCAUUAUUCUACAUCUAAUGGAAUACUAUACAUAUUCUUCUAUGCCCUGUAUUACUGUUUACUGUUGUGAUUUUUUUUUAAAUAAACACAUAGCUAUAUGUUUAGUAGCCUGUUAAGCAGCGGGUGAGAUUCGCCUAAAAUGCCUGUCUGAGGGGUACCGAAAGUAAAUUGAAAGCUGUUCUUUAACCAUUUGGAGUACAUGCAUAAUCUUGAUCUCUUUUGAAAGGUAACAUUCUGAACUUUCCCCCCAACAGUCGGAAUCAGUCUAAGUGCUACUGACAUUGAGUAAUAGCAGUUGGAACACAGUGAAGUAGAAGGUUUUUAUUUCUGCCUGAAUAUUUUUUGUUAAACAGAUGCCUGCAGAUGACUCUAGCUGGGACUUAUGAGCUGGAAAACACACUGGGACACUAUCAUGAAGCCUUGACUAGCUCAGGUUCAAAUUUGAUAACAAUACCACAGAAAAUGAAUAUUUCACAGAUUUUUUCCUAAGGGCAUGUCUAAGCGUUUUCCACAAAGGCCAUUUGGAACUAUGGUAACCAACUAGGCUAAAAAGGCUAGUUUUACACUCAAAAUCAUACUUUUAUAUGAAGGAGGCAAAACCGGUCAUAUGGUUUAAAAUGUAUACAAAUAAACAUCUUUCAUGUUG